AAUAAGUGUAGAUUUCGGUGUAAGAAGACAACACUACCCUUCUCCAUCAUUCUCCCAAACAGCACAACCCUCUGUCCAGCUCCUCCUCAUCCCACCAUCGCAUACCGUCGACUCCUUUUCCGGCACCCCUUCCACUCUCCACUCUCCACCGUCGCACCUCCACCCGCCCACCGUCACAAUCAGUCUCCUUCUCAUCCGAAAAAAUCAACAGUGCCCUACUUUCCUUUUUUUGGUAAGUAAUAUUGCCCGACUUAUUUUUUGUCUUCUCACUAAUCAUUGCUUGCAUUUUCUUCUGGUUCUUGUUUUUCCCUCUCUGUUUGGGUUCGAUUUUUGAUUGGGAAAGAACCAAUGUACAAACCAUUUGCGAUUCAAUUCGAAUUCUGAUUGGGAUUGGAAGAUUUGGGUUUCAGAUCGGGUGUGCUGCCCAAUUUCUGAUCGGUAGAAAUUGAUUUGGGUAUAAUUUUUAUUUCCAUUUUGCAUUAAUUGAAUUGAUUUCUAAGAUAGAAGUUGGGUGUCAAACUAAUUCAAUGUCCAUUUGCUUUUAGUCUGGGUGUCAUUGGAACUUGUAGAAUUUUGGUUUGGGCUUUAGAUUGGGGCAUGUCUGAUUGAAAUUGGGUGUCAAACUAACUAAAUUUCCAUCUCUCUCUCUCUCUCUCUGAAGUCUUAACUACAUUUUCGCAAAUUAUGAAAAUUAAAACAGUAAACAAAUAGGCUAACAUAUUUAAAAAAAAGUAAUUGAUUUUUGUUGUUGUUGUUGUUGUCAAUUUACGUUUCCUAAGCAAGGAGAGAGAGAGAGAGAGAGAGAGAGAGAGAGAGAGAGAGAGAGAGAGAGAGAGAGAGAGAGAGAGAAGAGAAGACAUGGAUUGAGAGGUAAUUUAUCCCAAAUUAAAAUACAGGGGUAUCGUCAUUUAACUUUUUUUGUUAACGGGGAGUUAGAGAUGCACUUUACUCCAAAACCACAAUGAGUCAAAUUGAUCAUUAGUAAGACUCAGGGAGAUCAUCUGUCAAAUGGCCAAACCAUAGGGAGCUAAUUUGUACUUUGGCCUUUGUUCUAUGGUAAUGAAUUUUCUUGUUCAAUGAUGAAUAAAAGAGAGGAGCCUACAAAGAAUAACUUAACAAAGGUAGUGAUCUUGAUUGAUGUAUGACCUCAGGAACCAAUUCCAACCCGCAGAUUAUCGGCUGAGGUGUUUGUCCUCGUGAGUUAGAUUUCUUCAUUUUCUUUUAAUGAAUUGCAGUAGUUCCACCAAAGUGUUGGAGUUAGAGUUUUCCGUUGGAUUUCGGAUCCUCACCAGACACUUUGGUUUAGCCCCAUUUGUUGGCCUUGGGCUCACCAUGAUGAUUGAAGCUAAUUACUUUUUACAGCUCGUUGAAAACAUUAACCUCAUCAAUAAUAUGUUUUUUGGACCUCAUCAAUAAUAUGUUUUUUGGAUACAUAAUACAUUCAUCAUGAAGAAGAAAAAAUAUCAAUAUUAGAUAGAAAGGCAGACAUAGUAGUGUAUUCCGACACUCUUGAGGAGGUCCAUGUAUUUAUUUGAAACAUUGAGGAGUACCAUUGAAAACAAGCAGAAGCUUGAACCAAAUACAGACGAUAAAGAAAGGCCAAGAAAGUGACGGAAAAUCUAACGGCAUCCAUAUACUCUCCUCAACCAAAUCCCCUGGGGAUCAACCAAGUUAGGAAUUUACCUGUCUCGCGUGACCUUGUUCGGCUCCAUUUUACCGCAACCUUCAGUCCUUGUCGCAAUCUAGGUAAUUGGAAUGAUGAGUGCAAAACCCAAGAGGAGAAUUGUAGCAGAGAAUGGGGAUGCAACCGGUGAGGACUUGGUCCUCGCAACUUUGAUUGGGAAUGGAGAGGAUCUGGGUCCUAUGGUCAAGCAUGCCUUCGAGACGGGGAGGCCUGAAACCCUCCUUCACCAACUCAAGAUUGUAGCCAAGAAGAAGGAAGUUGAAAUUGAGGAACUCUGUAAGCUCCAUUAUGAGGAAUUCAUUCUUGCAGUCGAUGAGCUCCGUGGUGUGCUGGUCGAUGCUGAGGAGCUUAAGAGUGAACUUGCUAGCGAUAAUUUUCGUGUACAAGAGGUUGGGACUGCUCUUCUUCUCAAACUUGAGGAUCUCCUCGAAUCUUACUCAAUUAAGAAGAAUGUAGCUGAAGCCAUUCAAAUGUCGAGAAAUUGUGUUCAAGUGUUGGAUCUAUGCGUCAAGUGUAACAGUCACAUUUCUGAAGGUCGGUUUUACCCUGCUCUAAAAACCAUUGAUCUGAUUGAGAAGAAUUAUUUACUGAAUAUUCCUGUCAAGGCUCUUAGGGUACUUAUCGAGAAGAGAGUACCGGUAAUAAAAUUACACAUUGAGAAAAAGGUCACCAGUCUAGUUAAUGAAUGGCUAGUUCACAUCAGGAGCACUGCAAAGGAUAUCGGACAAACGGCGAUAGGAUAUGCCGCUUCAGCUAGGCAGAGAGACGAGGACAUGCUAGCUCGACAGAGAAAAGCUGAGGAACAGAGUUGUUCAGGGUUUGGAGAUAUUAUAUACACUUUAGAUGUCGAAGAUAUUGACGAAGAUUCUAUUCUGAAGUUUGAUCUUACACCCCUUUACCGGGCAUAUCACAUACAUGCUUGCCUAGGGCUUCAAGAGCAGUUUCGCGAGUACUAUUACAAGAACCGAUUCUUGCAGCUAAGUUCAGACUUGCAAAUAUCUUCAGCACUAUCAUUUCUUGAAUCCCAUCAAACCUUUCUAGCACAAAUCGCUGGGUAUUUUAUAGUGGAGGAUAGAGUCUUAAGGACUGCUGGCGGGCUAUUGUUGCCUAAUCAGGUUGAGACCAUGUGGGAAACAGCUGUUGCUAAAGUGACCGCAGUGUUGGAGGAACAAUUUUCACAUAUGGAUUCUGCAAGCCAUCUUCUCCUGGUCAAGGAUUAUUUGACUCUUCUUGGAACAACACUUAGACAAUAUGGUUACGAAGUGAGCCCAAUUCUUGAUACCCUGAACACUAGCCAUGAAAAGUACCACAACCUUCUUUUGGCGGAGUGUAGGCAACAAAUCACUGAUGUCCUUUCCAAUGAUACAUUUGAGCAAAUGGUAAUGAAAAAGGAGUCAGACUAUCAAACAAAUGUCCUGAUGUUCCAUCUUCAAGGCUCAGAUAUAAUGCCUGCUUUCCCAUAUAUUGCACCCUUCUCUUGCAUGGUACCCGAUUGCUGCCGCAUUGUUAGAUCAUUCAUAAAGGACUCGGUCAACUACUUGUCUUAUGGGAACCAAAUGAAUGUCUUCAAUUUUGUUAGGAAGUAUUUGGAUAAGCUCUUGAUUGAUGUUUUGAAUGAAGCUAUACUCAAUACUAUUCACAGUGGCACCACAGGUGUCUCUCAAGCAAUGCAGAUCGCUGCAAACAUAGCUGUUCUCGAAAGAGCUUGCGAUUUUUUCCUGCAACAUGCAGCUCAGCAAUGUGCGAUUCCCAUCCGAUCGGUUGAAAGGCCCCAGGCUAGUUUAACGGCAAAGGUGGUACUUAAGACAUCCAGAGAUGCAGCUUAUCUUGCUAUGCUCAAUCUGGUGAACUCCAAGUUGGAUGAGUUUAUGGCUCUUACCGAAAAUGUGAAUUGGACUCCGGAUGAUACGCCGCCAAACGCACAUGACUACAUAAAUGAGGUGGUUAUUUACCUUGACACUGUUAUGUCAACCGCUCAGCAAAUUCUACCGCUGGAUGCUUUGUUUAAGGUUGGGAGUGGAGCUCUUGAGCAUAUUUCCAACUCCAUUGUGGCUGCUUUUCUUAGUGAUAGUGUGAAGAGGUUCAGCGCUAAUGCAGUUAUGGGAAUCAACAAUGAUCUCAAGGCAUUAGAAUCUUUUGCGGACGAGAGGUUUCACAGUGCUGGAUUGAGUGAGAUAUACAAGGAAGGUAGUUUUCGUGGGUGCUUGAUUGAAGCAAGGCAAUUGUUAAACCUUCUGUUGAGCAGUCAGCCUGAGAACUUCAUGAAUCCUGUUAUAAGGGAGAAGAACUACAAUACCUUAGACUACAAGAAGGUGGCUACUAUAUGUGAGAAGUUUAAGGAUUCUCCAGACGGGCUCUUUGGAAGUCUUUCAAGCAGAAAUACCAAACAAAGUUCUCGCAAGAAGUCAAUGGACGUCCUGAAAAAAAGACUCAGGGAUUUCAACUAAGACAGGUUGCAGAUUCAUUAGAUUUUUUUUUGAAAGUUAUUCAUUAGAUUAGGAGUUGCUGAACCUUUAUUUCUUAAUUUUUUAUGAUAUGUAGGAGUCUUUGCUAUUACUGCUGGAUAAAUUUAAGGUAGUUGCUGGAAAGGAAUAUAUGAAGACAACGGUUUAUCUUCUGAAAUCAUGAGACACUCUACCCUUGUCUGCCCCCAGUGGAGUAAAAUCUGCUUUAAUGUGGAUACUUCAAGGCUCUCAUUGAUCUCUUUCCUUUUCCGGCAAAAAAUUCUUUGGUGUUCUUCGUGGGACCAUUUCACUUGACAGGUGAUGUUUGGUCAAGUGCCAUGCUGAUAAAAUCACCAUUUCUUUGGAGUGGUCAUCCAUGAUUUCUGUACAUAUGCGGUGCAGUGCUUGAAGUGUUUUGUGCACAUGUAAUGGCGAUGUGAGGAAAGCUGCAGAUUUUUUAGAAGGCAACAGGGUGGCUCAUCCAUGUUCUUUGCAAGUUAAAUCUAGUAUUCUGAAAUCGUUCUUCUUUGAAGAAAAAAGGGAUGCAAAAUGCUGUGGAGAUCAAUCCAACAUUUUGGAGCCGAACCAGAUAAGGUAUCUAGACCUAUUGAUGGUUUCCCAGGCUAGGAGCUAUUGUUUCCAACGAUGCCAUUCCCAUCAAGGAAAAUAAUGUAGUGUUUGUUUUUCUUGUUCUUGCAUGGUUUUGGGCAGUAUGGAGAGAGAGGGAUUGCUUUACAUCCUACUUACCAAAGCCUGUUGAUAAGAGCUGUUUAUCCAAGUUUAAUGAAAUUGAGAUAGCCACGUAAACUGAUUUUAGAUUA